rnacentral:misc_RNA from 1 species
GCCAGAUACAAUCACACUCUCACAUCUUCUCUACUCAGGUUUCAUUUGAACAAGUGUUUCAGAACCAGAACAUGAAUGGUGAAUUCAGAUUUGGCAGCAAUCUCAACUUUGCCUCCGUGGAGUAUGGAGAUGCGGCUGAUGGAGCAGGGGAUUUGUUGCCCAAGCAGGACAACCGCGGGUGGUACUACUGAAAAGUCGCCGUCCUCGAGGUCGAGGGCAAUGCUGGUCAGUCUUCUCAUAUAUUUCUGAAGGUGGGCUAAUUUUGUCUUCUGCCUCUUAACUAUAGGGUAUAGUUCAGCUUUUCCUUUUCAGAACAUUGAGUUUCUAUGUGGUUG